UAGGAGGGCUAACUAGGCUCAUAAAAUGAUUAGAUGAUGAUAGCCCUACACAAAGGAAGAGGACAGAGGGCCUCAUUUUCUAAAGGAAGAGCCCUUACACACGUUCAAGACUGAAACCGACAGGUAUUGAAGACACGUCAUCCUAAGAGGAUGAA